rnacentral:lncRNA from 1 species
UACUCUUGUGGUUUCGCACUUUUUUAUUUUAGUACAAUGUGGUUUAAAAUGUAUCAAAAGUGUCCCGUGGUUUUAUUUUUAUUUUUUUGUCAAUUUUUCUGUUAAUAUUUCGUUAAAUUAUAUAUACAAAAAACUUCAGAUACCUAAUCUAGCUUUAUCGAAGAUUCACUUUAGUUCCCUUUAGUUUUAAUUUUGUUAUUGAUUUAACAAAAAGAUUAGUGGAAUCGAUAAUAAAAAGAUAAAAAUGAAACCACAGGGCACUAAAUUGAUACAUUUUAAAGCACAUGGUACUAAAAUAAGAAAGUAUAAAACCACAUGGGUGGCAUUUAUAGUUUUCCAAAUAAAUUUUCAAAUUUUUUUUUUAUAGAAAAGCUUAUAUUUUUCUAUUUUUUGUUUUCCAUCUGUUUGCUUCAAAGCAAAACUAUGAGACAAAUUUUACCAAAUUUAUAAAAAAUAGUAUUUUUAGUUUUUGGAUUUUUUUGGAAAAUAAAAAUAUUAUUUUUUAUGAAAUUUAGAGAGAAGCUUUCUAAAAAAGCUAAUU